rnacentral:rRNA from 1 species
UACGGGGGGAGCAAGCGUUGUUCGGAUUUACUGGGCGUACAGGGCGCGUAGGCGGUCAGCACAAGUCAGUUGUGAAAUCUCCGGGCUUAACUCGGAAAGGUCAACUGAUACUGUGCGACUAGAGUGCAGAAGGGGCAACUGGAAUUCUCGGUGUAGCGGUGAAAUGCGUAGAUAUCGAGAGGAACACCUGCGGCGAAGGCGGGUUGCUGGGCUGACACUGACGCUGAGGCGCGAAAGCCAGGGGAGCGAACGGG